UUUAAGAGACUCCCUCCUCCCUUCAGCGCUCCCUCACUCUGUUUAAUUUCUCUUUUAUCCAAAGAGUCUCUCCCUUAAUCUGACUGAUUGAUCUUUGUCUCACUGCAAAUGACACGCAAGAGUCAGUGACUGCGAGGUACCUAAUCCAACCUUUGUGACGGGGGCGACGUGUCUGUGUGGAAACAGGGCGACUUUGAGGCUGCAGAUCUGAGCGUUUUCUCUGCAUUUGAAAAAUAGCUUUAAUGAUGCAAUAUGUUAUAAAGCUUACAAUUCAUUAAAAAAAAACUUACAUAUUUGGAUAACACUCAGUUCCCAAUCAUUUUGUCAAACUUUUUUUCUGAGAACUUAGUCUGUAAAAACCACCCAACACUUUAUUCAAAUCUAAAUGAAUAAAAUUAAACUCAUCAAAUGUAAGGCAGCAAAAAAAUAAUGUAAAGCAAAGGUCUUGAACGACCAGAACCCAGGUCAGGGCCAAGCUCAGCUUUCAUUUAUUGUGUAUCCGUUUGAAAUACUUUUUUUUUUUUUUAAUAUUUUAUAGGCACAUACAAAUACUGUGUACAGGCUACCCACUUGUGCCCACACACGUAACAUGCGAUGCAAACAUACUGUGCACACACACACUUUCACAUUUUAAGAGCGAGGUCUUGGGAAGUAGGUUAAGCAGGCCGGGAUCACCUCUCGCUGCUCGCUCCCAGCUUAGAAGCACUAAGAGAGCUGAGUGGGUGGGAUGGGCGCUGCAGUUGGAGAGAGGAUGGAGGUUGGGGUGGGAGAAAGAGACACAGAGAGGGAGAGAAAGAGGGGUGAUGGAGAAAUCUUCCAGAGGACAUCUGUCACACUCAGCAACUUGUGAGCUGCUUUUUUCCAGCCCACUGUGUGACCCAUGGAUUCUCUUGCAUGACUGCCCAAGAACUAUGACAGUUUUAGAAGGGGUUUUAGUCCCUUCUCAUGGCCUAGGAGACCCCGUGUAAACAGGGUUAAGUCAAAUCUCUGUUGAGAUAACACAGAUUGACACUAAACCUGCCCAGUUUAGAUACUGAUUCAGUGUCUUCACAUGUGGAAGACGUGGUUGAAUAUAGUCUGUGAGAGGAUGGAAUACUGUCAAGGACUGAUCUUAGAGCUUGGCCUUUUUUUCUGCCACAAAUCAUGUAAUUAAAAAACACACCAGAUGACACUUCUGUUGCUCUUUUGUGACCAUGUGUCCACGUCUGAGCAUGUCGUUGGUGCUGAAUAGAGCAAACAGCGGGUUACCAAAAAAAAUAAAUAAAUGAAACAGCAUGAGAACAUUUCACCCCCUCUUGCAGGUGUUGAAGAUGUAGAGUAAACAACAACAACGCCGCUCUACACACACAAAAACACACACACAAACACAAAAGGCCCAUUGUGCAUCCUUGUGUGUCCACUAACCCUUUCUGCUUAAUCUGGGAUUACAGCAUUCCCAUCCUGAUGGCAGCAGAGAAGACAAUGCCUCAUUUAAUGGGAGGAAAUGUGCAGUAAUGAUGUUAACACAUCAAACUUUUUACUUCAUUCUCCCACUUUCUCUAAUAUAUGCAUUAAUUAUUGCCUCUAUUCACAAAUCUGGGUCUGUUUCCCCUGAACCUACGGCUUAUAAACCUUUUUAAAAAUUGGGCCACUUACCCAUAUGGCCUACAGUUCUGUCUGUGUUAUCUGUUCAGGUAAUAGAUUGUCAAAAUGGUAACUAAUGAUAGGAACAGAGUAAUAAAUUGUAAAAAAAA